AGAGUUUGAUCAUGGCUCAGAUUGAACGCUGGCGGCAGGCUUAACACAUGCAAGUCGAGCGGAGAUGAGGUGCUUGCACCUUAUCUUAGCGGCGGACGGGUGAGUAAUGCUUAGGAAUCUGCCUAUUAGUGGGGGACAACAUUCCGAAAGGAAUGCUAAUACCGCAUACGCCCUACGGGGGAAAGCAGGGGAUCUUCGGACCUUGCGCUAAUAGAUGAGCCUAAGUCGGAUUAGCUAGUUGGUGGGGUAAAGGCCUACCAAGGCGACGAUCUGUAGCGGGUCUGAGAGGAUGAUCCGCCACACUGGGACUGAGACACGGCCCAGACUCCUACGGGAGGCAGCAGUGGGGAAUAUUGGACAAUGGGCGGAAGCCUGAUCCAGCCAUGCCGCGUGUGUGAAGAAGGCCUUUUGGUUGUAAAGCACUUUAAGCGAGGAGGAGGCUACUUAGAUUAAUACUCUAGGAUAGUGGACGUUACUCGCAGAAUAAGCACCGGCUAACUCUGUGCCAGCAGCCGCGGUAAUACAGAGGGUGCGAGCGUUAAUCGGAUUUACUGGGCGUAAAGCGUGCGUAGGCGGCUGAUUAAGUCGGAUGUGAAAUCCCUGAGCUUAACUUAGGAAUUGCAUUCGAUACUGGUCAGCUAGAGUAUGGGAGAGGAUGGUAGAAUUCCAGGUGUAGCGGUGAAAUGCGUAGAGAUCUGGAGGAAUACCGAUGGCGAAGGCAGCCAUCUGGCCUAAUACUGACGCUGAGGUACGAAAGCAUGGGGAGCAAACAGGAUUAGAUACCCUGGUAGUCCAUGCCGUAAACGAUGUCUACUAGCCGUUGGGGCCUUUGAGGCUUUAGUGGCGCAGCUAACGCGAUAAGUAGACCGCCUGGGGAGUACGGUCGCAAGACUAAAACUCAAAUGAAUUGACGGGGGCCCGCACAAGCGGUGGAGCAUGUGGUUUAAUUCGAUGCAACGCGAAGAACCUUACCUGGCCUUGACAUAGUAAGAACUUUCCAGAGAUGGAUUGGUGCCUUCGGGAACUUACAUACAGGUGCUGCAUGGCUGUCGUCAGCUCGUGUCGUGAGAUGUUGGGUUAAGUCCCGCAACGAGCGCAACCCUUUUCCUUAUUUGCCAGCGAGUAAUGUCGGGAACUUUAAGGAUACUGCCAGUGACAAACUGGAGGAAGGCGGGGACGACGUCAAGUCAUCAUGGCCCUUACGGCCAGGGCUACACACGUGCUACAAUGGUCGGUACAAAGGGUUGCUACCUAGCGAUAGGAUGCUAAUCUCAAAAAGCCGAUCGUAGUCCGGAUUGGAGUCUGCAACUCGACUCCAUGAAGUCGGAAUCGCUAGUAAUCGCGGAUCAGAAUGCCGCGGUGAAUACGUUCCCGGGCCUUGUACACACCGCCCGUCACACCAUGGGAGUUUGUUGCACCAGAAGUAGGUAGUCUAACCGCAAGGAGGACGCU
rnacentral:rRNA from 1 species